rnacentral:tRNA from 1 species
GCGGAUGUGGCGAAAUUGGUAGACGCGUCAGACUUAGGAUCUGGUGCCUUCGGGCAUGGGGGUUCGAGUCCCUCCAUCCGCA